GGUCUUGUGGUGUAGCGGUAACACGUCCUCAAUUGAUAGUCCACUAUUAGUUUGAUUUUGAGGAGGUCCCUUGUUUGAAUCAAGGUGAGGCCA